rnacentral:sRNA from 1 species
CUGUACAAUUUUCGCAUUCGGAUUCGCAUCGUAAAUUGUUGUACGAUCGAUCGCCCCCGUCCAUACGUUCCGUUUUCGGUAUUUGUGAAGUUCUUGAUUAGUUUUGUUGUUGUUAAUUUUCCGCCCAUAUACAUAUAUAUUUUGUUGUGGUUGUUGUUUGAAAAGCAAAAACAAAAGAAAAAAACGAAUACCUAUAUAAAGUGUUUCUAAUUUGGAUUCUUUGCCGAUGGUGUGAAAAAAUAUUAUUGACUCUCGUUAAUUGAUGACGACAACAUUAACGCAUAGCCACGGAGAGAAGAAGAAAACGGCACGAAGACAGAACAAAAAAGAUUGCAAGACGACGACCUCUGAAAUUAAAACCAGAUAUAGCAACAAAACAAACAACCAUCAAAAAUAGCAACAACAA